AUCACGCUUUUUACUCGUCUACAGGGAAAUCUCCUCCCCCUCGUGCGAUCGGGAAAAUUAACCCUUUGCGCGAGAGGGCGCAGAAGAGCAAGACCUCCCCUCGCCCUGGGGGACAGUUUUGUUUACAAGAAAUCAACUAAAAUGAGGCGAGGGCACGUCAUUCAGUUAGAUAAUCCCAGCAAGACAUUGGAGGCUGAGGCAAGAAGAUUGAUGCUAGUAAAGUUGCCAGAAAUUCAAGGACAAGGUUUCUAGGUUCAGCAGUCCUGACUGUCCUGGAACUCACUUUGUAGACCAAGCUGGUCUUGAACUCAAAAAGAUGUACCUGCCUCUGCUUCCCAAGUGCCCGAAUUAAAGAAGUGCUCCACCACCGUCCAGCUUAGAAUGAUUAUUUUCUUUCUGGACUUUUGUAAGGAUAGGAAAGAUGGCAGAGGAUAUUGGGAGAAAGCCCAGCAUUGCAAGUAAGAAUCAUUAUGAAAAGCUUUCUCGUGUGCUCGUUCCUAAGACAUAACCGGAUAUCUAGUUAAUAUUGAAUGUGUAACAUAACUGGCAAUUUAUUGUUGGCAAUAAAGUGCUU